rnacentral:rRNA from 1 species
CCUACGGGGGGCUGCAGUGGGGAAUAUUGCACAAUGGGCGCAAGCCUGAUGCAGCGACGCCGCGUGAGGGAUGACGGCCUUCGGGUUGUAAACCUCUGUUAGCAUCGAAGAAGCGAAAGUGACGGUAGGUGCAGAGAAAGCGCCGGCUAACUACGUGCCAGCAGCCGCGGUAAUACGUAGGGCGCGAGCGUUGUCCGGAAUUAUUGGGCGUAAAGAGCUUGUAGGCGGUUGGUCGCGUCUGCUGUGAAAGGCUGGGGCUUAACCCUGGUUUUGCAGUGGGUACGGGCUAACUAGAGUGCAGUAGGGGAGACUGGAAUUCCUGGUGUAGCGGUGGAAUGCGCAGAUAUCAGGAGGAACACCGAUGGCGAAGGCAGGUCUCUGGGCUGUAACUGACGCUGAGAAGCGAAAGCAUGGGGAGCGAACAGGAUUAGAUACCCAAGUAGUC